rnacentral:rRNA from 1 species
UACGUAGGGACCGAGCGUUGUCCGGAAUCAUUGGGCGUAAAGAGCUCGUAGGCGGUUCAGUAAGUCGGGGGUGAAAGCCUGUGGCUCAACCACAGAAUUGCCUUCGAUACUGUCGAGCUUGAGACCGGAAGAGGUAAGUGGAACUGCGAGUGUAGAGGUGAAAUUCGUAGAUAUUCGCAAGAACACCAGUGGCGAAGGCGGCUUACUGGUCCGGUUCUGACGCUGAGGCGCGAAAGCGUGGGGAGCAAACAGG